rnacentral:rRNA from 1 species
AGUGAACGCUGGCGGCGUGCUUAACACAUGCAAGUCGAACGCGAAAGGGUAGCAAUAUCCGAGUAGAGUGGCGAACGGGUGAGUAAUACAUGGGUAACCUGCCCUUUGAUGGGGAAUAACCCCGCGAAAGCGGGGCUAAUACCGCAUAAGAUCCGCACGGAUGAAAGCCGUAAGGCGUCGAAGGAGGGGCCCGCGCACGAUUAGCUAGUUGGUAGGGUAACGGCCUACCAAGGCUUUGAUCGUUAGCUGGUCUGAGAGGAUGGCCAGCCACACUGGAACUGAGACACGGCCCAGACUCCUGCGGGAGGCAGCAGUGGGGAAUCUUAGACAAUGGGGGAAACCCUGAUCUAGCCAUGCCGCGUGAGCGAUGAAGGCCUUAGGGUUGUAAAGCUCUUUCGUGGGGGAAGAUAAUGACGGUACCGCAAGAAUAAGCCCCGGCUAACUUCGUGCCAGCCGCCGCUGUAA